ACCUACGGGGGGCAGCAGUAGGGAAUUUUCGUCAAUGGGCGCAAGCCUGAACGAGCAAUGCCGCGUGAACGAGGAAGGUCUUCGGAUCGUAAAGUUCUGUUGAAGGGGAAAAAGGGCGGAGAGAGGAAAUGGUCUCCGAUUGAUAUUACCCUUCGAGGAAGUCACGGCUAACUACGUGCCAGCAGCCGCGGUAAUACGUAGGUGGCGAGCGUUAUCCGGAAUGAUUGGGCGUAAAGGGUGCGUAGGCGGCCUGCUAAGUCUGGAGUGAAAGGUACCGGCUCAACCGGUACAGGCUCUGGAAACUG
rnacentral:rRNA from 1 species